GAUUAACGCUGGCGGCAUGCCUAAUACAUGCAAGUCGAACGGAAGCAGCAAUGCUUUAGUGGCGAACGGGUGAGUAACACGUAGGGAACCUACCUAUACGACGAGGAUAACUACUGGAAACGGUAGCUAAAACUGGAUAGGAUCAAUUGAGGCAUCUUGAUUGAUUUAAAGAUCCUUCGGGAUUACGUAGAGAUGGCCCUGCGGCGCAUUAGCUAGUUGGUGAGGUAACGGCCCACCAAGGCGACGAUGCGUAGCUGAGCUGAGAGGCUAAACAGCCACACUGGGACUGAGACACGGCCCAGACUCCUACGGGAGGCAGCAGUAGGGAAUUUUCGGCAAUGGGGGAAACCCUGACCGAGCAAUGCCGCGUGAACGAUGAAGGUCUUCGGAUCGUAAAGCUCUGUCUUCAGGGACGAACAAGGUGACGGUACCUGAGGAGGAAGCCCCGGCUAACUACGUGCCAGCAGCCGCGGUAAGUACGCAGCGA
rnacentral:rRNA from 1 species